rnacentral:rRNA from 1 species
GAGGCAGCAGUGGGGAAUUUUAGACAAUGGGCGCAAGCCUGAUCUAGCCAUGYCGCGUGAGUGAAGAAGGCCUUAGGGUCGUAAAACUCUUUCGCCAGAGAUGAUAAUGACAGUAUCUGGUAAAGAAACCCCGGCUAACUCCGUGCCAGCAGCCGCGGUAAUACGGAGGGGGUUAGCGUUGUUCGGAAUUACUGGGCGUAAAGCGCACGUAGGCGGACUGGAAAGUUGGGGGUGAAAUCCCGGGGCUCAACCUCGGAACUGCCUCCAAAACUAUCAGUCUAGAGUUCGAGAGAGGUGAGUGGAAUUCCAAGUGUAGAGGUGAAAUUCGUAGAUAUUUGGAGGAACACCAGUGGCGAAGGCGGCUCACUGGCUCGAUACUGACGCUGAGGUGCGAAAGUGUGGGGAGCAAACAGGAUUAGAUACCCUGGUAGUCCACACCGUAAACGAUGAAUGCCAGUCGUCGGCAAGUAUACUUGUCGGUGACACACCUAACGGAUUAAGCAUUCCGCCUGGGGAGUACGGUCGCAAGAUUAAAACUCAAAGGAAUUGACGGGGGCCCGCACAAGCGGUGGAGCAUGUGGUUUAAUUCGAAGC